UACAGGGGGUGCAAACGUUGCUCGGAAUUAUUGGGCGUAAAGCGCGCGUAGGCGGCUACUUAAGUCGGAUGUGAAAGCCCUUGGCUCAACUGAGGAAGUGCACCCGAAACUGAGUGGCUUGAGUACCAAAGAGGGUCGCGGAGUUCCCGGUGUAGAGGUGAAAUUCGUAGAUAUCGGGAGGAACACCGGUGGCGAAGGCGGCGACCUGGGUGGAUACUGACGCUGAGGCGCGAAAGCGUGGGGAGCAAACAGG
rnacentral:rRNA from 1 species